rnacentral:rRNA from 1 species
AAGACCUUGCGCUUUUGGAGCGGCCGAUGCCUGAUUAGCUUGUUGGUAAGGUAAAAGCUUACCAAGGCUUCGAUCAGUAGCUGGUCUGAGAGGACGACCAGCCACACUGGGACUGAGACACGGCCCAGACUCCUACGGGAGGCAGCAGUGGGGAAUUUUGGACAAUGGGGGCAACCCUGAUCCAGCCAUGCCGCGUGAGUGAAGAAGGCCUUCGGGUUGUAAAGCUCUUUCAGCCGGAACGAAACGGUUACGGUUAACACCCGUGACUACUGACGGUACCGGAGGAAGAAGCACCGGCUAACUACGUGCCAGCAGCCGCGGUAAUACGUAGGGUGCGAGCGUUAAUCGGAAUUACUGGGCGUAAAGCGUGCGCAGGUGGUUUUGUAAGUCAGAUGUGAAAGCCCCGGGCUCAACCUGGGAACU